rnacentral:rRNA from 1 species
UACGUAGGGACCGAGCGUUGUUCGGAUUCAUUGGGCGUAAAGGGUGUGUAGGUGGCGCGCUAAGUCGGGUGUGAAAUUUCGGAGCUUAACUCCGAAACUGCAUUCGAUACUGGCGUGCUUGAGGACUGGAGAGGAGACUGGAAUUCAUGGUGUAGCAGUGAAAUGCGUAGAGAUCAUGAGGAAGACCAGUGGCGAAGGCGGGUCUCUGGACAGUUCCUGACACUGAGACACGAAGGCCAGGGGAGCAAACGGG